rnacentral:rRNA from 1 species
CCCCUAGAUGUUCUGGGCCGCACGCGCGCUACACUGAACAGUUCAACAAGUCUUAACCUUGGCCAAUAGGUCUGGGUAAUCUUUGAACGCUGUUCGUGAUUGGGAUAGACCUUUGCAAUUAUGGGUCUUCAACGAGGAAUUCCUAGUAAACGCAAGUCAUCAGCUUGCAUUGAUUACGUCCCUGCCCUUUGUACACACCGCCCGUCGCACCUACCGAUUGAAUGGUCCGGUGAAAUCUCGGGACGGCGGCUUGGUCGCUUGCGUCCGACUGCUGAAACUUGAUUAAACCAUAUCAUUUAGAGGAAGGUGAANUCGUAACA